GAAGUCUCCGGAUCUCUACAAUUCCCCUCUGUCCGCCUUCCUUCUAUCUCUUGGGCAGCCUGACAUUUGACGAGGACAGACUCACAGAAUAAAAAUGUUCCAAAUGGGUGGCUGGAAAAAGUGACAUCAUGGGAAACAAGAAUCAAAUCCAGAGGCCGUGCCUGCUGUCUGUAUUAUAAUCAGUAUCCACACUUUAACACAGGGUGAAAUGGGACUCUGCAAACACCAGAACUGUAGCUCCAGUUGGCCCAAUGUAUUCUACCAAGACUUCAGGAAUUCCCAGCUCCUCUUGUUCCAGCAAGUACGACUUUCUGACCUGCAGGGCAUCCACUAAGAUUAUAUGUAAUCCUUCUUUUGAGUCAACUUUAAAGUGUAAUUUACCAGGCACCAUCAUUUAAAUAUGAGAAAACGUUGUGUGGAAGUCGCUUUGGAAGACAGAGACCAGGAAUGACUAAAUGGGAAAGACCCAAGCUCCAUUUCAUUUUUCUGGGUGGAGAUGGUGGAAAGUUGCCCAUAAUAGAAUGCUUAAGUGCCUUUUGCUGGAAUGUGCCCUGAACCCAUUUUGUCACAAUAUAAGAUGUAAAGCUGAGCAUUUAAUCCACAUGCUCAUCUUCAGUUCUGCAACUCUCCUCUGCUGCCGUGGGUCCCUGUGACUCAUCUCCAGAACAUGACUGAAAGAAUGUUGAACUCAUCCAAGAAAUAUGGGACUCCUUGGGAAGAACGUGGCUGACAGGAGAGUACUUGCCAAUGAGAAAAUACCAGAAUUUUUCAUGCAGCUCAGGAUUUCUUUAGGCCAUGCAGGAGUGGAGGAACGUUACCUGCCAAUCUCCAGCCCAGGAAUGACAUGCUGCUUCCAGUGAACUUACUUGUCCAGGAGGUAGGGGCCUAGCCACAUUUCGCUAAGGCCAGGAAUGCCACAGUGAGGUUUGGAUACGCUUUAAAAAUGUCCCGCUCUCCCUCCUAACUGAAAAAAUAGGUCAACUUUCAGUCUCAAGGGCUAGAAAGUAACUGCUUCAAUGAUGCCCCUUUCCAAUGGUGCUCAGCUUGGGGAUUUUACUGUCAGUAUUCCCUGGGAGUUGCCCUGCUUGGAGGAAAUUAAGAAAAUAAAAGCAAUUCACACCACCUCACAGUAAGACUGGAAACUUCUCAUGUAACCAUUUUGAGAAAAACCUUGGAAACACUAAAAGGUGAAGGGGCAAGACCGAUUCUGUUCAACCAAAAUUCUUCAAGCACUGAAUUAGAUACACGUUACUUUAGUUCCAAUUUUUACUUUAGUUGUUGUUUCAGAUGGUUGAUCACCUGAGAGCAUCCCUUGAUAAGAGAUUAGAUAUUUGUUAAGGUGGGAAUUAACCUAGAAAAGCACAGUCUAGAUUUUGGAGCUAUGAAACAAUGCUGUCUCUAUAAAGGCUGUAACUGGGACCCUCAUCUUCUUCAACUCUCAUCCUAAGCAGUGUCCUUAUCUGGAGAUUCCCCCUGAGUUUCUUAUAAGGGCUCAGUAGGAGUGAUAUUGAUUUUACAUUAUUAACAGCCACAAAAACUCUCGAAGGAAGUUCCUUCUUGAUUGCACAAAAGAGGUUUGAAAAAUAGCAAAUGAUAGCAUAGAAGGGAAAGGGGCACACAUCUGAGGUUUCCCAGAGAUCUUGAGAAAGGGAAGGCAUUCUGAGUAAGGAAGUUUUAAUUCAAAAUGAGCUAUGAGUUGGCUAUUUUACUGGGGCAUAGGCCAAGGCAUGGGGCUUAAAAGUCCUGUUGAGUGCUUCUGGCCCCUUUUCUGGAUUUCAGAGAAUCAUGGUUUGUUAUGAUCUGCUUUGUUUUAGGAAGGAGAGAGGAAACAUGACAUCUAAUCAAGAAAUAUUGGAACAGUUCAUCUGUUAGAGACUUACACUUGCUGUGGCUAUUCUGAAGGUAGAACUGAAACCAAUGAGUAAGAAUCAAGGAGAGGUAGAUUUCAUCUUCAUACGUGGAGGAAUUUUGCAAUAAUUAAAAUUGCUUGAAAAAGAGGUUGUUUCAUGGGGGAAUGGAUCGC